rnacentral:rRNA from 1 species
GACGAACGCUGGCGGCGUGCUUAACACAUGCAAGUCGUACGGUAAGGCCCUUUCGGGGGUACACGAGUGGCGAACGGGUGAGUAACACGUGAGUAACCUGCCCACAACUUUGGGAUAACGCUAGGAAACUGGUGCUAAUACUGGAUAUGUGCUCCUGCUGCAUGGGGGGGGUUGGAAAGCUCCGGCGGUUGUGGAUGGACUCGCGGCCUAUCAGCUUGUUGGUGGGGUAGUGGCCUACUAAGGCGGCGACGGGUAGCCGGCCUGAGAGGGUGACCGGCCACAUUGGGACUGAGCUACGGCCCAGACUCCUACGGGAGGCAGCAGUGGGGAAUAUUGCACAAGGGGCGCAAGCCUGAUGCAGCAACGCCGCGUGCGGGAUGACGGCCUUCGGGUUGUAAACCGCUUUCAGCAGGGACGAAGCUUUUUGUGACGGUACCUGCAGAAGAAGCACCGGCUAACUACGUG